rnacentral:rRNA from 2 species
GGACUACUGGGGUAUCUAAUCCCGUUCGCUCCCCUGGCUUUCGCGCCUCAGCGUCAGAAGGUGACCAGCACGCCGCUUUCGCCACCGGCGUUCCUUCGGAUAUCUACGCAUUUCACCGCUCCACCCGAAGUUCCGCGUGCCCCUCCACCCCUCCAGGCCCCCAGUAUCCGCGGCGCUUCCCCGGUUGGGCCGGGGGCUUUCACCGCGGACUUUGGGGCCCGCCUACGCGCCCUUUAAGCCCAGUGAAUCCGAACAACGUUCGCACGGUUCGUCUUACCGCGGCGGCUGGCAC